rnacentral:rRNA from 1 species
GACGAACGCUGGCGGCGCGCUUAACACAUGCAAGUCGAACGGAAAGGCCUGCUUUCCCUUGUGGAUUGCGGGUACUCGAGUGGCGAACGGGUGAGUAACACGUGAGUGAUCUGCCCCCAACUUGGGUAUAAGCCUGGGAAACUGGGUCUAAUUCCCGAUAGGACUGCAGGGUGGUGCCUGUGGUGGAAAACGAUUUUCUAGUGGUUGGGGAUGAGCUCGCGGCCUAUCAGCUUGUUGGUGGGGUAAUGGCCUACCAAGGCGGCGACGGGUAGCCGGCCUGGGAGGGUGGACGGCCAGAUUGGGACUGGGAUACGGCCCAGACUCCUACGGGAGGCAGCAGUGGGGAAUAUUGCACAAUGGGCGGAAGCCUGAUGCAGCGACGCCGCGUGGGGGAUGACGGCCUUCGGGUUGUAAACUCCUUUCGACCGCGAGGAAGCCACCUGGUUGGAAGGGUGGUGACGGUAGUGGUAGAAGAAGCACCGGCUAACUACGUG